rnacentral:rRNA from 1 species
GAUUAAGUUAUUAAGCACGGUGGAUGCCUUGGCACUAGAAGCCGAUGAAGGACGUUACUAACGACGAUAUGCUUUGGGAGCUGUAAGCUUUGAUCCAGAGAUUUCCGAAUGGGGAAACCCAGCAUGAGUUAUGUCAUGUUAUCGAUAUGUGAAUACAUAGCAUAUCUGAAGGUAGACGCGGAGAACUGAAACAUCUUAGUACCCGCAGGAAGAGAAAGAAAAUCGAUUCCCUGAGUAGCGGCGAGCGAAACGGGAAGAGCCCAAACCAACGAGCUUGCUUGUUGGGGUUGUAGGACACUCUAUACGGAGUUACAAAAGAAUAAACUAGACGAAUCAUCUGGAAAGAUGAAUCAAAGAAGGUAAUAAUCCUGUAGUCGAAAGUUUAUUCACUCUUGAGUGGAUCCUGAGAACACGAGAAAUUCCGUCGGAAUCGGGAGGACCAUCUCCCAAGGCUAAAUACUCUAGUGACCGAUAGUGAACCAGUACCGUGAGGAAAGGUGAAAAGUACCCCGGAAGGGAGUGAAAUAGAACUUGAAACCGUGUGCUUACAAGUAGUCAGAGCCCGUUAAUGGGUGAUGGCGUGCCUUUGUAGAAUGAACCGGCGAGUUACGAUUUGAUGCAAGGUUAAGCAGUGAAUGUAGCCGUAGCGAGCGAAAUAGGGCGUUGAGUAUUUGGUCGUAGACCCGAAACCAGGUGAUCUACCCAUGACCAGGUUGAAGUUCAGGUAACACUGAAUGGAGGACCGAACCGACUUACGUUGAAAAGUGAGCGGAUGAGUUGUGGGUAGGGAGAAAUUCCAAUCGAACCUGGAGAUAGCUGGUUCUCUCCGAAAUAGCUUUAGGCUAGCCUCAAGUGAUGAUUAUUGGAGGUAGAGCACUGUUUGGACGAGGGGCCCUUAUCGGGUUACCGAAUUCAGACAAACUCCGAAUGCCAAUCAAUUUAACUGGGAGUUAGAACGCGGUGAUAAGGUCCGUGUUCGAAAGGGAAACAGCCCAGACCCCAAAAUAUAUGUUGUGGAAAAGGAUGUGGCGUUGCCCAGACAACUAGGAUGUUGGCUUAGAAGCAGCCAUCAUUUAAAGAGUGCGUAAUAGCUCACUAGUCGAGUGACACUGCGCCGAAAAUGUACCGGGGCUAAACAUAUUACCGAAGCUGUGGAUUGUCCGUAAGGACAAUGGUAGGAGAGCGUUCUAAGGGCGUUGAAGCAUGAUCGCAAGGACAUGUGGAGCGCUUAGAAGUGAGAAUGCCGGUGUGAGUAGCGAAAGACGGGUGAGAAUCCCGUCCACCGAUUGACUAAGGUUUCCAGAGGAAGGCUCGUCCGCUCUGGGUUAGUCGGGUCCUGAGGCCGAUAGGCGUAGGCGAUGGAUAACAGGUUGAUAUUCCUGUACCACCAUAAUUCGUUUUAAGCGAUGGGGGACGCAGUAGGAUAGAAGCGUACUAUUGGAUUGUACGUCCAAGCAGUAAGACUGAGUGUUAGGCAAAUCCGGCACUCUUAAGGUCAAGCUGUGAUGGGGAGAGGAAAUUGUUUCCUCGAGUCGUUGAUUUCACACUGAAAAGCCUCUAGCUAGAAUUGUGGUGCCCGUACCGCAAACCGACACAGGUAGUCAAGAUGAGAAUUCUAAGGUGAGCGAGCGAACUCUCGUUAAGGAACUCGGCAAAAUGACCCCGUAACGGGAGAAGGGGUGCUCUUUAGGUUAACGCCCAGGAGAGCCGCAGUGAAUAGGCAAGCGACUGUUUAUCAAAAACACAGGUCUCUGCUAAACCGGUGAUGUAGCUGACGCCUGCCCGGUGCUGGAAGGUUAAGAGGAGUGGUUAGCUUCUGCGAAGCUACGAAUCGAAGCCCCAGUAAACGGCGGCCGUAACUAUAACGGUCCUAAGGUAGCGAAAUUCCUUGUCGGGUAAGUUCCGACCCGCACGAAAGGCGUAACGAUUUGGGCACUGUCUCAACGAGAGACUCGGUGAAAUCAUAGUACCUGUGAAGAUGCAGGUUACCCGCGACAGGACGGAAAGACCCCUGUAGUCUGAUAUUGAAAUUCGGCACAGCUUGUACAGGAUAGGUAGGAGCCUGAGAUGCGUGAGCGCUAGCUUACGUGGAGGCGUUGGUGGGAUACUACCCUCGCUGUGUUGGAUCAUGGUGGGGUGGAGACAGUGUCAGAUGGGCAGUUUGACUGGGGCGGUCGCCUCCAAAGAGUAACGGAGGCGCUCAAAGGUUUCCUCAGAAUGGUUGGAAAUCAUUCAUAGAGUGUAAAGGCAUAAGGAAGCUUGACUGCGAGACUUACAAGUCGAGCAGGGUCGAAAGACGGACUUAGUGAUCCGGUGGUUCCGCAUGGAAGGGCCAUCGCUCAACGGAUAAAAGCUACCCCGGGGAUAACAGGCUUAUCUCCCCAAGAGUUCACAUCGACGGGGAGGUUUGGCACCUCGAUGUCGGCUCAUCGCAUCCUGGGGCUGUAGUCGGUCCCGGGUUGGGCUGUUCGCCCAUUAAAGCGGUACGCGAGCUGGGUUCAGAACGUCGUGAGACAGUUCGGUCCCUAUCCGUCGUGGGCGUAGGAAAUUUGAGAGGAGCUGUCCUUAGUAGAGGACCGGGAUGGACAUACCUCUGGUGUACCUUGUCGUGCGGCAUCGCUGGGUAUGUAUGGACGGGAUAAGUGCUGAAAGCAUCUAAGCAUGAAGCCCCCUCAAGAUGAGAUUUCCAACUUCGGUUAUAAGAUCCCUCAAAGAUGAUGAGGUUAAUAGGUUCGAGGUGGAAGCAUAGCGAUAUGUGGAGCUGACGAAUAAUCGAUCGAAGACUUAAUCAA